rnacentral:rRNA from 1 species
UUAAGCGACUAAGCGUACACGGUGGAUGCCCUGGCAGUCAGAGGCGAUGAAGGACGUGCUAAUCUGCGAAAAGCGCCGGCGAGGUGAUAUGAACCUUUGACCCGGCGAUGUCCGAAUGGGGAAACCCAGUGCAAUUCGUUGCACUAUCGUUAACUGAAUACAUAGGUUAACGAGGCGAACCGGGGGAACUGAAACAUCUAAGUACCCCGAGGAAAAGAAAUCAACCGAGAUUCCCCCAGUAGCGGCGAGCGAACGGGGAGCAGCCCAGAGUCUGAAUCAGCUUGUGUGUUAGUGGAAGCGUCUGGAAAGUCGCACGGUACAGGGUGACAGUCCCGUACACGAAAGCACACAGGUUGUGAACUCGAAGAGUAGGGCGGGACACGUGGUAUCCUGUCUGAAUAUGGGGGGACCAUCCUCCAAGGCUAAAUACUCCUGACUGACCGAUAGUGAACCAGUACCGUGAGGGAAAGGCGAAAAGAACCCCGGCGAGGGGAGUGAAAAAGAACCUGAAACCGUGUACGUACAAGCAGUGGGAGCACCUUCGUGGUGUGACUGCGUACCUUUUGUAUAAUGGGUCAGCGACUUAUAUUCUGUAGCAAGGUUAACCGUAUAGGGGAGCCGAAGGGAAACCGAGUCUUAACUGGGCGUUAAGUUGCAGGGUAUAGACCCGAAACCCGGUGAUCUAGCCAUGGGCAGGUUGAAGGUUGGGUAACACUAACUGGAGGACCGAACCGACUAAUGUUGAAAAAUUAGCGGAUGACUUGUGGCUGGGGGUGAAAGGCCAAUCAAACCGGGAGAUAGCUGGUUCUCCCCGAAAGCUAUUUAGGUAGCGCCUCGUGAACUCAUCUUCGGGGGUAGAGCACUGUUUCGGCUAGGGGGCCAUCCCGGCUUACCAACCCGAUGCAAACUACGAAUACCGAAGAAUGUUAUCACGGGAGACACACGGCGGGUGCUAACGUCCGUCGUGAAGAGGGAAACAACCCAGACCGCCAGCUAAGGUCCCAAAGUCAUGGUUAAGUGGGAAACGAUGUGGGAAGGCACAGACAGCCAGGAUGUUGGCUUAGAAGCAGCCAUCAUUUAAAGAAAGCGUAAUAGCUCACUGGUCGAGUCGGCCUGCGCGGAAGAUGUAACGGGGCUAAACCAUGCACCGAAGCUGCGGCAGCGACGCUUAUGCGUUGUUGGGUAGGGGAGCGUUCUGUAAGCCGUUGAAGGUGUGCUGUGAGGCAUGCUGGAGGUAUCAGAAGUGCGAAUGCUGACAUAAGUAACGAUAAAGCGGGUGAAAAGCCCGCUCGCCGGAAGACCAAGGGUUCCUGUCCAACGUUAAUCGGGGCAGGGUGAGUCGACCCCUAAGGCGAGGCCGAAAGGCGUAGUCGAUGGGAAACAGGUUAAUAUUCCUGUACUUGGUGUUACUGCGAAGGGGGGACGGAGAAGGCUAUGUUAGCCGGGCGACGGUUGUCCCGGUUUAAGCAUGUAGGCGGAACGAUUAGGUAAAUCCGGUCGUUUAUUAACGCUGAGGUGUGAUGACGAGGCACUACGGUGCUGAAGUAACAAAUGCCCUGCUUCCAGGAAAAGCCUCUAAGCAUCAGGUAACACGAAAUCGUACCCCAAACCGACACAGGUGGUCAGGUAGAGAAUACCAAGGCGCUUGAGAGAACUCGGGUGAAGGAACUAGGCAAAAUGGUGCCGUAACUUCGGGAGAAGGCACGCUGAUAUGUAGGUGAAGCCCCUGCGGGUGGAGCUGAAAUCAGUCGAAGAUACCAGCUGGCUGCAACUGUUUAUUAAAAACACAGCACUGUGCAAACACGAAAGUGGACGUAUACGGUGUGACGCCUGCCCGGUGCCGGAAGGUUAAUUGAUGGGGUUAGCGGUAACGCGAAGCUCUUGAUCGAAGCCCCGGUAAACGGCGGCCGUAACUAUAACGGUCCUAAGGUAGCGAAAUUCCUUGUCGGGUAAGUUCCGACCUGCACGAAUGGCGUAAUGAUGGCCAGGCUGUCUCCACCCGAGACUCAGUGAAAUUGAACUCGCUGUGAAGAUGCAGUGUACCCGCGGCAAGACGGAAAGACCCCGUGAACCUUUACUAUAGCUUGACACUGAACACUGGUCCUUGAUGUGUAGGAUAGGUGGGAGGCUUUGAAGCGUGGACGCCAGUCUGCGUGGAGCCGACCUUGAAAUACCACCCUUUAAUGGCUGGUGUUCUAACGUAGACCCGUAAUCCGGGUUGCGGACAGUGUCUGGUGGGUAGUUUGACUGGGGCGGUCUCCUCCCAAAGAGUAACGGAGGAGCACGAAGGUUAGCUAAUCCUGGUCGGACAUCAGGAGGUUAGUGCAAUGGCAUAAGCUAGCUUGACUGCGAGAGUGACGGCUCGAGCAGGUGCGAAAGCAGGUCAUAGUGAUCCGGUGGUUCUGAAUGGAAGGGCCAUCGCUCAACGGAUAAAAGGUACUCCGGGGAUAACAGGCUGAUACCGCCCAAGAGUUCAUAUCGACGGCGGUGUUUGGCACCUCGAUGUCGGCUCAUCACAUCCUGGGGCUGAAGUAGGUCCCAAGGGUAUGGCUGUUCGCCAUUUAAAGUGGUACGCGAGCUGGGUUUAGAACGUCGUGAGACAGUUCGGUCCCUAUCUGCCGUGGGCGCUGGAGAAUUGAGGGGGGCUGCUCCUAGUACGAGAGGACCGGAGUGGACGCAUCACUGGUGUUCGGGUUGUCAUGCCAAUGGCACUGCCCGGUAGCUAAAUGCGGAAAAGAUAAGUGCUGAAAGCAUCUAAGCACGAAACUUGCCCCGAGAUGAGUUCUCCCUGACCCUUUAAGGGUCCUGAAGGAACGUUGAAGACUACGACGUUGAUAGGUCGGGUGUGUAAGCGCAGCGAUGCGUUGAGCUAACCGAUACUAAUGAACCGUGAGGCUUAACCU